GAACAGCCAAAGGGGGCCUCUGUAUGUAAGCUCUUGCUUAAGGAUGAGUCCGCGUACCAUUAGCUAGUUGGUGGGGUAAUAGCCUACCAAGGCGACGAUGGUUAGCUGGUCUGAGAGGAUGAUCAGCCACACUGGAACUGAGACACGGUCCAGACUCCUACGGGAGGCAACAGUGAGGAAUCUUGCGCAAUGGGGGAAACCCUGACGCAGCAACGCCGCGUGAGUGAGGAAGGUUUUCGGAAGCUCUGUCGGGUGGAAAGAAAGGCAUGAAGGCCAAUACCCUUCAUGUUUGACGUACCACCAAAGGAAGCACCGGCUAACUCCGUGCCAGCAGCUCGCGGUAGUUCGGAAU
rnacentral:rRNA from 1 species